UACGUAGGCAGCGAGCGUUGUUCGGAGUUACUGGGCGUAAAGGGUGUGUAGGCGGUUGUUUAAGUUUGGUGUGAAAUCUCCCGGCUCAACUGGGAGGGUGCGCCGAAUACUGAAUGACUUGGAGUGCGGGAGAGGAAAGUGGAAUUCCUGGUGUAGCGGUGAAAUGCGUAGAGAUCAGGAGGAACACCUGUGGUGUAGACAGCUUACUGGACGGUGACUGACGCUGAGGCACGAAAGCGUGGGUAGCAAACAGG
rnacentral:rRNA from 1 species